GGGGGGGGAGGGGUGAAGGAGAAGGGAGAGAGAAUACUACCAGGAUAUUGCUAAACAAAUGCAGCCACAGAUUAUAUAAAAGCUAAAUUUAACUAAUUUAUGUAACAAGCACUAGAGAACAUCCACGCUACUGAUCCUCUUGCUCUAUAAAAAGUUAAUUUGAAUACUCCCUAUUCUCCUUGGAAUUUCAUUAACAUAUACAAGAAACAAUAUAUACUUUCUCAAAAAUGACAAUCAAUGACCUUAAUUCCAAAUGAAUAUGCGGCCUUGGUUACUUGGAGUUGAUCUGUCCAUUUCAUUUUGCAUCACUCCUCGCAUGCCAGUGUUUCAAGUUAACAAAGUCAUGUCGGUAAGGGCACAGGUAACACUAUGGAAUGCAGAAUGCAGAAGAAGAGAAGAGUCAGUUUGUGAUAAAUGGUUGAUAGUCACAGUGAAAGACAUUGUACCCCCUCAGGUAGAUUUCGAGGCAUAGGAAAUGCUGUGAUGUGUCUCUGCGGAAUUGGCUUCAGAGAACCAGAAGUUGAGGUUCCAGAAGCAUCUAUUUGUCCCCGAACAUGAAAUUUGGCAAAACGAUUAAUGACAGCAAACCUUUCCAACUCUUGAAACUCUGCUCUUAUGUCUACAACUGAUGCUGUCUUGUCCAAUCUUUGGAAGUCAUUCUCCAGUUUCUUCGCUUUAUCAAUGAACUCUUCCACAACUGCCAAAAAUUGUUGUUCACCCCUUCUUUCAGAAUUCACAUUACUGUUGUUUACAAGCGCAAGAAACUCAUUUCUCAAGCAGUAAGCAAGGCUACAUGCAUCUCCCAGUGAUAAUCUAGAAAUGAAGUAUGAUAUGAUAUCAUAGCUUGAAGCAGAGUCUGCAGAUAAAAUGGAUGCUGGUGGAGGAUGAAACAACUGCUGUAGAAGCUGUGUUGUUAACAUAAGCCUUCUCUUUGAUCGUUGCAUUGGCUGCAAAUCAUCAAUCAUUUCAACCUCAUCUUCUACCUUCUCAGUCAGCCGGUUUGUGGCUUGUGCCCAGUCUUGUUCUGCCACACUGAUAUUUUGAAGCCUUUUGGAAUCUCGAGUCACCUCUUUAUGCCACGGUAGAAGCUCAGAUGUUGUGACUUUUCGCUUCUUUGUUCUCAUAAUAGCCACUUGAUUGGUGACUUCUGAAGGUAACAUAUAUGGGGAUGACAACUGUUGACUACUUGGCCAAACCCUGCCACCCUGACCAGCAUCAGCAGCAUCUAACUGCUCCAAAGAGCUAAGAAUAUUUUGAGAAGGCUUUCCAAGAGAGAACUGUGAGGCUACAGCUUUUGCAAGUCUAGCAUCAAGCAUUGGCACCACCUGUCCAUUUCUAAGAGCUUCAUAUUGCUUAAAACAGGAGGGUUCCAUAUGCAGAUUAACAUGGCCAUGAUCUGUAUGAUUAGAUGGCACAUUGCUGCUGCUAGAUUGAGUAUGAGUGUUAUUAUAACCAAAUGUGACCAUUUCCCGAGAAUUUCUAGAUUCAAGGGCAGGCUGCUGCGGAGCUUUUACAGUUGGACCAUCUCUUGCAUCUCCCAAGAAGCCAAGCACUUGGUUAUCACCAGAUGGAAAUGAUCUGGUUUGUGAUGUUGAAUUUGAUUUACCAUCCACAGGGUGUCUGAACCUUGAAAUUAUAUCAUGUAAAUGCUGUCCCCCCAAAGCAGCAGCACGUUGAACAUCCAAAGCACUGUCUGCACCACUAUUCAUCGCCUGCACUUGGUGCAAAAGAGAGUAAUUGCGGAGGUCAUUAUGUGAAUGGCUUAAGGAUUCAAUAUUUCUUUUAGAAGAAACUUGAGCAAGGUCGUUGCUAUGCCUUACUUUAUCAAGGUCCUGCUGCUGAGCAUGAGACACCAAUGCGCCAAACGUGAGAGCAGUUGCAUCAGAAACAGUCUCCGGCCCUUGAGAUACACCACCUUUAUGAGAAGUAUCAAGCAUCUUAUAUGACAUUCGCUGUUGCAACAUCUCUUUUCCCAGAUGCUCUUCCCCAUGGUCAAAGCCUUGUGAAUUAGAAGAAGCACCAAUAUCUGAUGACUUAUAUCCACCUUUUAUGGAAUUUUGAUCAUUUGAUCCAUGUGGAGCCCAUGAAGUGAUUAUCGUAUUAUUAUUUGUUGAAUCCAUGGAGCAAGGGAAAUUGGAGAACUUAAGAGGUUCCAUACCAAAUGGUUGUCGCUGACUUGGUACAUUUCUCCAUACAUUGUAUGGCCUUGCUGAAUUUUCAAUCUGUUGUGACAUUACUGAUGGCUGUGAUACUGGGGCAGCCUCCAAAACUGGAAAUUGUUGACAAACAGGAUUGGUUUGCAUCUGUUGCGAAGCAUCUUGAGAAGGGGCUUGGUUAAAAGGUGGGAAUCUGCCAGUUGCACCAGGUAAGGUUGCCUGCAACGAUUGUGAUGAUACAGGUACACUGGACAAGGGACGCAUUUGAAGUUGGUUUCUUAUUUGUGUAGGACUCAGUGAAAAUGAUGCAACAGAGUUUCCCAGCAUAUUCACAUACGGAGAGAAGCUUUUAUGACCCAGAGUACCUGAUUUGUUUUCCCGUUGUGUUCUUUGAGCCAGCUCAUGUGAAGGAGGUGAGGACUGAAAUGGAGGAGUUAACCAAGCCUGAUUUUUCUCUUCCAGUCCAGGAUUAACUUGCCUAGGACUCAGAUUGUUUAUAGUCUGUGGUAAACCUGGAGGAAAGAGAAAACUGUUUGAAUUGGCCAACCUUUGAGAUGGAGGGGCCAACCUCAAACCAAAAGCUGGGGAAGCAGAAGACUGAGCGUAAAUUUGAGAAACAGAUGUAUCAUGGGAAUCUGCUCCAGGCAUUUCAGUCAAAGGACUGCCAUUAGCGGAGCCAAAUUGUUUUGUGGAGCUAUCAUCCUUUGAUUGGUCAACCUUGUGAAGCAGCUCAAGCAUAUGUUCA
rnacentral:misc_RNA from 1 species